rnacentral:rRNA from 1 species
GACGAACGCUGGCGGCGUGCUUAACACAUGCAAGUCGAACGGAAAGGCCCUGCUUUUGUGGGGUGCUCGAGUGGCGAACGGGUGAGUAACACGUGAGUAACCUGCCCUUGACUUUGGGAUAACUUCAGGAAACUGGGGCUAAUACCGGAUAGGAGCUCCUGCUGCAUGGUGGGGGUUGGAAAGUUUCGGCGGUUGGGGAUGGACUCGCGGCUUAUCAGCUUGUUGGUGGGGUAGUGGCUUACCAAGGCUUUGACGGGUAGCCGGCCUGAGAGGGUGACCGGCCACAUUGGGACUGAGAUACGGCCCAGACUCCUACGGGAGGCAGCAGUGGGGAAUAUUGCACAAUGGGCGGAAGCCUGAUGCAGCAACGCCGCGUGCGGGAUGACGGCCUUCGGGUUGUAAACCGCUUUCGCCUGUGACGAAUCGUGAGUGACGGUAAUGGGUGAAGAAGCACCGGCUAACUACGUGCCAGCAGCCGCGGUGAUACGUAGGGUGCGAGCGUUGUCCGGAUUUAUUGGGCGUAAAGGGCUCGUAGGUGGUUGAUCGCGUCGGAAGUGUAAUCUUGGGGCUUAACCCUGAGCGUGCUUUCGAUACGGGUUGACUUGAGGAAGGUAGGGGAGAAUGGAAUUCCUGGUGGAGCGGUGGAAUGCGCAGAUAUCAGGAGGAACACCAGUGGCGAAGGCGGUUCUCUGGGCCUUUCCUGACGCUGAGGAGCGAAAGCGUGGGGAGCGAACAGGCUUAGAUACCCUGGUAGUCCACGCUGUAAACGGUGGGUACUAGGUGUGGGGUCCAUUCCACGGGUUCCGUGCCGUAGCUAACGCUUUAAGUACCCCGCCUGGGGAGUACGGCCGCAAGGCUAAAACUCAAAGGAAUUGACGGGGCCCCGCACAAGCGGCGGAGCAUGCGGAUUAAUUCGAUGCAACGCGUAGAACCUUACCUGGGUUUGACAUGGAUCGGGAGCGCUCAGAGAUGGGUGUGCCUCUUUUGGGGUCGGUUCACAGGUGGUGCAUGGCUGUCGUCAGCUCGUGUCGUGAGAUGUUGGGUUAAGUCCCGCAACGAGCGCAACCCUUGUUCACUGUUGCCAGCACGUUAUGGUGGGGACUCAGUGGAGACCGCCGGGGUCAACUCGGAGGAAGGUGGGGAUGACGUCAAGUCAUCAUGCCCCUUAUGUCCAGGGCUUCACGCAUGCUACAAUGGCUGGUACAGAGAGUGGCGAGCCUGUGAGGGUGAGCGAAUCUCGGAAAGCCGGUCUCAGUUCGGAUUGGGGUCUGCAACUCGACCUCAUGAAGUCGGAGUCGCUAGUAAUCGCAGAUCAGCAACGCUGCGGUGAAUACGUUCCCGGG